rnacentral:tRNA from 2 species
UCCAAGGUAGGAUAACGGCAGUCCUCGGGCUUGUGGCACCCGUGAACUGGGUUCAAAUCCCGGCCGGAG